AGAGUUUGAUCCUGGCUCAGAUUGAACGCUGGCGGAAUGCUUUACACAUGCAAGUCGAGCGGCAGCGCGGGGGCAACCCUGGCGGCGAGCGGCGAACGGGUGAGUAACAUAUCGGAACGUACCCUGUCGUGGGGGAUAACACAGCGAAAGUUGUGCUAAUACCGCAUACGACCUGAGGGUGAAAGCGGGGGAUCGCAAGACCUCGCGCGAUAGGAGCGGCCGAUAUCGGAUUAGCUAGUUGGUGAGGUAAAGGCUCACCAAGGCGACGAUCCGUAGCUGGUCUGAGAGGACGACCAGCCACACUGGAACUGAGACACGGUCCAGACUCCUACGGGAGGCAGCAGUGGGGAAUUUUGGACAAUGGGGGCAACCCUGAUCCAGCCAUUCCGCGUGAGUGAAGAAGGCCUUCGGGUUGUAAAGCUCUUUCGGCAGGAACGAAACGGUGUCUCCUAAUACGAGGCGCUAAUGACGGUACCUGAAGAAGAAGCACCGGCUAACUACGUGCCAGCAGCCGCGGUAAUACGUAGGGUGCGAGCGUUAAUCGGAAUUACUGGGCGUAAAACGUGCGCAGGCGGUUAUAUAAGACAGAUGUGAAAUCCCCGGGCUUAACCUGGGAACUGCGUUUGAAACUGGCGGACUAGAGUUUAGUAGAGGGGAGUGGAAUUUCAGGUGUAGCGGUGAAAUGCGUAGAUAUCUGAAGGAACACCAGUGGCGAAGGCGACUCCCUGGACUAGAACUGACGCUGAGGUACGAAAGCGUGGGUAGCAAACAGGAUUAGAUACCCUGGUAGUCC
rnacentral:rRNA from 1 species